rnacentral:rRNA from 1 species
AGAGUUUGAUCCUGGCUCAGGACGAACGCUGGCGGCGUGCUUAACACAUGCAAGUCGAACGGAGAUUUUAGCAAUAGAAUCUUAGUGGCGAACGGGUGAGUAACGCGUAGGCAAUCUGCCUUCUAGAUGGGGACAACAUCCCGAAAGGGGUGCUAAUACCGAAUGUUGUAUGAUCUUCGCAUGGAGAUGAUACUAAAGGUGGCCUCUGAAUAUGCUACCGCUAGAAGAUGAGCCUGCGUCUGAUUAGCUAGUUGGGGGGGUAACGGCCCACCAAGGCUUCGAUCAGUAGCCGGUCUGAGAGGAUGAACGGCCACACUGGGACUGAGACACGGCCCAGACUCCUACGGGAGGCAGCAGUGGGGAAUCUUCCGCAAUGGACGAAAGUCUGACGGAGCAACGCCGCGUGAGUGAAGAAGGUUUUCGGAUCGUAAAGCUCUUUCGUUAGGGACGAACGUGCUCUUUGUGAAUAAUGAGGAGUAAUGACGGUACCUAAAUAAGAAGCCACGGCUAACUACGUGCCAGCAGCCGCGGUAAUACGUAGGUGGCAAGCGUUGUCCGGAAUUAUUGGGCGUAAAGCGCGCGCAGGCGGGAUAUCAAGUCUGUCUUAAAAGUGCGAGGCUCAACCUCGUGAGGGGACAGAAACUGGUAUUCUUGAGUGUCGGAGAGGAAAGUGGAAUUCCAAGUGUAGCGGUGAAAUGCGUAGAGAUUUGGGAGAACACCAGUGGCGAAGGCGACUUUCUGGACGAUGUCUGACGCUGAGGCGCGAAAGCUAGGGGAGCGAACGGGAUUAGAUACCCCGGUAGU